CAAGAAUAUUAGUCAAUGCUCGCAAGAGUGAACUAGCUAACUGAAAUCAUAUGACUCAUUAAUAUGGUGAUUAUGAUAACAUAAGGGAAAAAAAUGAUAUUACCUUAUUAUUAGUGUUGUCCAAAACUGGUGCCAGAAGACUCGGUAAGACCAGAGACGCAAACGUUAGUCAUCUUAAUCAGGCGUAAAGGGUGUGUAGGCUGCUUUAAAAGUUUAUUUUUUUUAAUAGCUCUGUCACCAUAAUACUAUCUAAUUUAUUUAUAUUAUAUAAAAUUUAUAACUAAUAAAUGAUAUUAAGAAGAUAUCUGUGUCUCAGAAAAAAAAUAAAUGAAUUAAAGCUAGGAUCAAAUUGAGGAUAAACCAAAUAAUACUUAGAGUAGGGGUUAAAUCCGCAGAUACUAAGGGGAAUACUAAAGGUGAAGACUUUUUAUCUAGUAUUGAUUGACGCUGAGAAACGAAGGUGAGAAUAGGAAAUAGGAUUUGAUACCCAGAUACCUCUCACUGUCAACGAUGAAUGGUGGUUAGUUAGUUUUAAUAAAAACUGGUAACGAUGUUAACACGAUAACCAUUCCGCCUUGCGAGUACGGUUGCAAAACUGAAACCAAAAAAAUU
rnacentral:rRNA from 1 species